rnacentral:snoRNA from 1 species
AUCCUUUUGUGGAUCAUAAGUAUGAUGACUGGUGUUCACACCUGUGUGUGACAUGUGCCUUCUUCUUGUUAUGAUGUCAGCACAGCACCAUCUGACA